rnacentral:rRNA from 1 species
AUUGAACGCUGGCGGCAGGCCUAACACAUGCAAGUCGAGCGGUAGAGAGAAGCUUGCUUCUCUUGAGAGCGGCGGACGGGUGAGUAAUGCCUAGGAAUCUGCCUGGUAGUGGGGGAUAACGUUCGGAAACGGACGCUAAUACCGCAUACGUCCUACGGGAGAAAGCAGGGGACCUUCGGGCCUUGCGCUAUCAGAUGAGCCUAGGUCGGAUUAGCUAGUUGGUGAGGUAAUGGCUCACCAAGGCGACGAUCCGUAGCUGGUCUGAGAGGACGACCAGCCACACUGGAACUGAGACACGGUCCAGACACCUACGGGUGGCUG